rnacentral:rRNA from 1 species
UGGCGGACGGGUGAGUAACGCGUGGGUAACCUGCCUCAUACAGGGGGAUAACAGUUAGAAAUGACUGCUAAUACCGCAUAAGACCACAGCACCGCAUGGUGCAGGGGCAAAAACUCCGGUGGUAUGAGAUGGACCCGCGUCUGAUUAGGUAGUUGGUGGGGUAACGGCCUACCAAGCCGACGAUCAGUAGCCGACCUGAGAGGGUAACCGGCCACAUUGGGACUGAGACACGGCCCAA